rnacentral:misc_RNA from 1 species
GAAAUGCGAUAAGUAAUGUGAAUUGCAGAAUUCAGUGAAUCGUCGAAUCUUUGAACGCAUCUUGCGCUCCUUGGUAUUCCUUGGAGCAUGCCUGUUUGAGUAUCAUGAAAUCUUCAAAGUAAAUCUUUUGUUAACUCAAUUGGUUUCUACUUUGGUAUUGGAGGUCUUUGCAGCUUCACACCUGCUCCUCUUUGUUCAUUAGCUGGAUCUCAGUGUUAUGCUUGGUUCCACUCGGCGUGAUAAGUUAUCUAUCGCUGAGGACACUGUAAAAGGUGGCCAAGGUAAAUGCAGAUGAACCGCUUCUAAUAGUCCAUUGACUUGGACAAUACUUUUAUGAUCUGAUCUCAAAUCAGGUAGGACUACCCGCUGAACUUAAGC